rnacentral:rRNA from 1 species
AUUGAACGCUGGCGGCAUGCCUUACACAUGCAAGUCGAACGGUAACGCGGGGCAACCUGGCGACGAGUGGCGAACGGGUGAGUAAUGCAUCGGAACGUGCCCAGUAGUGGGGGAUAGCCCGGCGAAAGCCGGAUUAAUACCGCAUACGACCUACGGGUGAAAGCGGGGGAUCGCAAGACCUCGCGCUAUUGGAGCGGCCGAUGUCAGAUUAGGUAGUUGGUGGGGUAAAGGCCUACCAAGCCUUCGAUCUGUAGCUGGUCUGAGAGGACGACCAGCCACACGGGGACUGAGACAAGGCCCAGACGCCUACGGGAGGCAGCAGUGGGGAAGUUUGGACAAUGGGCGCAAGCCUGAUCCAGCCAUGCCGCGUGCGGGAAGAAGGCCUUCGGGUUGUAAACCGCUUUUGUCAGGGAAGAAACGCUCUGGGCUAAUACCCCGGGGUAAUGACGGUACCUGAAGAAUAAGCACCGGCUAACUACGUGCCAGCAGCCGCUGUAAAAC